CACACCAGCGGGACAAACAGCCAGGGUUUGGUCCUGCCAGGUUGGCCCUGCUGGCUCUUCUUGCUGAGGACAGGCAGGAGGUGCUGAGGAAGGAAGGAUGCGGUGACAGGAGCAGCCAAGGCAGGACCCAGAGCAGCGGCGCAGGACUGCCCAGCUGCAAGGGAGAGCCGAGAGAUUUAGUGAAACAGAGCCUAUGAGCAAGCUGGCAAGCUUUCUAGCACCUUGGGAGAUGUGAUAUUUGAUAGGCUGAAUUCCAGUGUUUCAUAAGGAGCAUUUCAGUCUCUCAUCUUGAUACAAGGGUGCACACAGCCCGUGCCAGAACAGCUUGGACUGCACAGUCACACUGCAUGAGCAUGGAGCACAAUUGCUUCCUGAAGGGAAGAUCCUGCCACUGCCCUGGGGUGAAUUUGUACAAAAAGGAAGAGAAAACUUGAAGUCUGUGAACACAUCAUGAGGUUUCUGGCAGACAUGGACAGAGACUGUGGAUCAGGUCACACCUCCUCCUGGGCAUGCUCCCCUUGUCUGCCUUUGAAAGCAAGGCCCUCCAACCACGCUGGAGCACCUUCUAAGUGGGGAUAUUAAAUGGAGAACUUCUUUGGUCAGGGAUUUCCAGGACAAUGGCACUUGUCUUGCAAUGAACUGUGAGUAUUUGCUGUUGGAAUACCUAAGUAAUCUGUUGGGUUGGGGUGGUUUUUGUGUUUGUCUAGGAUGAGGGGUAGUCUGCAAUGGCAGCCAUGGGACCUAAUGCUGUUGCUGCUUUUCCGGGCACUUGAAGCCCCUUUACCUCCUUGCUCUCCUGCCGGGCCGAAGCAUCUGUAAUAAUUUGGUUUUUCUCUAAGAAAUGUGGUGGGGAACAGAGCUGAUGGGACUUGUACAUGCCCUCCAUCCACCUCUCCAGCGUUAACCUGGAGUUGUGACAUCCCAUCCCUUGCUCAGGAGAGGAUUCACCCCAGGAUUUCGAAGCGCCGAUGUAAUUUCCCUUUACUCCCCGUCCCGUUUCCCCAGAGCUCAGGUAGGUCCCGUCUCCUCCAAGAAGCGAUGCUGCCCUGCCCUGCCCGUCCCUCGUGCCCACAGCUCGGCCGCCGUGGGGGCGGCGGUGCCGGGGCUCCCCGGGCCCUCCGCUCGGAGCCCGCCUGUGUGCAGUGCGUGUGCCAGCCAGGACAGUUCGCUCAAUCCCAGCCCGGGCGGCUCUGGGGCAGGGACGGAGGGAUGAGGCGGCCGGGCUGGG